rnacentral:rRNA from 1 species
CCUACGGGAGGCUGCAGUGGGGAAUAUUGCACAAUGGGCGCAAGCCUGAUGCAGCCAUGCCGCGUGUGUGAAGAAGGCCUUCGGGUUGUAAAGCACUUUCAGCGGGGAGGAAGGCGGUGAGGUUAAUAACCUCAUCGAUUGACGUUACCCGCAGAAGAAGCACCGGCUAACUCCGUGCCAGCAGCCGCGGUAAUACGGAGGGUGCAAGCGUUAAUCGGAAUUACUGGGCGUAAAGCGCACGCAGGCGGUCUGUCAAGUCGGAUGUGAAAUCCCCGGGCUCAACCUGGGAACUGCAUUCGAAACUGGCAGGCUAGAGUCUUGUAGAGGGGGGUAGAAUUCCAGGUGUACCGGUGGAAUGCGUAGAGAUCUGGAGGAAUACCGGUGGCGAAGGCGGCCCCCUGGACAAAGACUGACGCUCAGGUGCGAAAGCGUGGGGAGCAAACAGGAUUAGAUACCCGAGUAGUC